GGACCCGCCUCCUACUCCCGCCCUCCGCGGGUAGCUACCGCUGGCCCCAAUCACCCACGUGGUCGAAGCCCGGCCCUGCCGGCUGGAGAGAAUCCCGGUAGUGUACGUGUUUUGGCUUGCGGGGUGUUUAAUUGUCGCCGGAGGGGACUUACUGCCAGCUGUCGAGUCUGGGGUCGUAUUUUGUGGAGUCGAAAGUGAAAUUUUACUUCGGCCGACGUGACAGGGCUUUGUUUGGUGGUAAAAAGAGUGGUAGAGCCCCCUCAUUCCACGGCCACCGGAGGGCGCGUUUCUCGGCUCUUGCUCUCCAAACCUGUUACAAAAGGAAUUCCUAGAUCCUAACGCCAGGCCACUGGGCACUUGUGUGGAAGUAAAAACAAAUACGACCAAGGCAAGAACGUACUCCCUCCUGCUUAGUCAGUCUGCCGCUUGGUGACCCUUCCACGUUCCCAGAGGGAUGAGCCCCAUCGUCCUUCACGUAACGCGGCCCAGACUGUGAGGGACCGUUGGCAGCCACAGACGGAACUGGAGAGCUGUUGGCUUCUAUUUUGAAAAAGCAGACAUGUAAUAAGUACGGAACUAAAUGAGAAACACUGAAGCACAGAAAAGUUAAGCCUCCUGCCAGAAGUAAAAUAUCUAGGUAAUUUACCUAGCGAGUGAUGAAGAGAAGCUAGGAUGCAGAUCCAGGCGGCCUGGCUCCAAAGCCCAGACCGAGCUCCUGGCAUCCUAACCCUUACUAGCUGAAUUGGUUUCCAGCCCAAGACAUUUGUUAUGCCUGUCCCAAAAGUUUAAGUGUCAUGUUAAGUGCUGGAAUGCUAAAAUUGUGAUGAAUAAAGCUACUUUCCAAGAAAAACGAGUAUCUUUUCAGGAUUUGGAUUUGACACCCCCCCCAGUGCCAUAUUUUGGGGUCCUACAGCCUUGAAACAUGCUUGAAAAGUCAUCUCUUACUACUUCAUCAGCAAAAUGGUGAUAAUGGUGUUUUAAGAUCCAGUUAGGUUGGGGUG